rnacentral:rRNA from 1 species
GACGAACGCUGGCGGCGUGCUUAACACAUGCAAGUCGAACGAAGUGGCGAACGGGUGAGUAACGCGUAAUCAACCUGCCCUUCAGGGGGGGACAACAGUUGGAAACGAAUGCUAAUACCGCAUACUGAAGGAGGGGAUUGCGUGGGUUUAGCUAGUUGGAGGGGUAACGGCCCACCAAGGCGAUGCUCAGUAGCCGGGCUGAGGGGGUGAACGGCCACAUUGGGACUGAGACACGGCCCAGACUCCUACGGGAGGCAGCAGUGGGGAAUCUUCGGCAAUGGACGAAAGUCUGACGGAGCAACGCCGCGUGAGUGAUGACGGCCUUCGGGUUGUAAAGCUCUGUUAAUCGGGACGCGGUACCGAAAUAGAAAGCCACGGCUAACUACGUGCCAGCCGCCGCGGUAAUAC